UCUGUUAUUUCUGAUUAGCUGUAAACGAGCAAAUAUUUUCCCAGUGUUCGCCAGGUUAGAUCCCCAUUUAAUUAAACUGGCUCAUUAUGUCGCUCUCUGAUUAGUGGAGGGGAAUCAAUUAUUCAAUUCACAAACAUGGGCCGCAGGAGCUGGAGGUGCACAAAGAGCUGCUCAUUUAAUUCCAAGGACACUAAUUAGCUACAAAGCAAAGCUGCAACUUUCUGUCUCUCUCCCCCCACCCUCCUUCCUCAAUUACCGCGAACGUAGGACACUGGGUGUGAGGAGCGGGGAGGAGGGCUGAGGCAGACGAGAAGAGGAGAGCAUGAUGGGAAACGUAGGUGGGGCGGGUCAAAACGUUCCUUAUUUGGCAGGAAUCCCGUCUUGUUAGCGAGGUCGAGAUGUUGCGGACGGCGAUGUUAUUUGCUGAAAUGUAGAUCGGACGGAGAGCUAAGCAUCCAGGAAACAACCCGAGGGAUUUCCAGCAGCUUCAAACUCAAAGGCCUGCCACUUUUGUUCUCCGCAAUCAAACGGCGGGCAAUUAUCCGAAUUAUUGACAGCAGAUUUCUCAUUUCAACUGCAAAUUAAGGCUAUCAAUAAAGCUUUCUGAUGCAAAAGUGACUAAUUAACCGACGGAGUGGAGCUCUGAAGCCGUGUUGUAAAAAGAAAAAAACUCCAGUCGGUAGCACGUAGUGGAAACACAGGGGAACUAAUUAGUUUAAUUAUCAAAACAGCUAAUUAAAAUUACACAGUUGCCUAAUUAGUUCUGUGCUUCUUGCUGUCUCUCUCUCCCUGUCUCUCUUAUUUCCUCUUUGCCCUCUCACUCUUUAAUUGACAGGUUGAAGUUAAAUAUAAAACAGGAGGAGAGAGUGAGGGAAAAGGAGAGGAGAAAACGCGUAUGGCGGGGUACCGAGAGUUUAACGCAAUAUCUCGGCUGAUGCCGUCUGCGCGAGUGGCAGAUCUCUGGAGCAGGAAAACAAAUGACUUUCAUCCAAGCAAUUCCAAAUUUUCUCCCACUAAAGUCUUUUUGAUGUGAACAAAUGAAGAAUUUGCCCUCUUCUUGUUACCCUGACGAAAAACAGCAUUGCCAUGCUGUAAAAGACAAAUUUAAAGAAAAUGGAGCAGUGAUGACUCAUCCUGCACUACAAAGAUUUUUGUCCAAUCAGAUGCCCUCUUGAAGGAGAACGCCCCACCUCCUUACGCCGCAUACAACCAACUAAAACUGCAACUACUACUAAUAACAAGUUGGUGUUAAUAACCGGACACAUCAAUUGAAAACAGUGCUACAUAUGGGAUCACUUCAAACUUCAGUGAGCAGCUGGGAUUGGCUUACUAAGAGGUAUGUGUCCUCCAAAAACGAAAGGUCAGUCAGUUUAAGUGCAGCAUAAUGAGACAUUCCAACAUGCAACUUCUGAAAAGGUGUUCAUUAACUAGAGUGUUUUUAAUGCAGUCCCUUGAGUAAGCCCAUGUAGUGAAAAGGUCUUUGUUUAUUGAUGAUGAGUUAUUUUCACCAUCAUAAUGAAAGCAUACUUGUGAAGAGUAGACCUUUAAAAUAGGAAUAUUUUAAAUUCUUUUAAAGAUAAUUUUAAUAACAUUAGGUUGAGUUGCCAUCUGGCCAUUGAGAUCAUGGAGACACUGGA